rnacentral:lncRNA from 1 species
UCUUCCAAAAGUAUUGAUAAACCCAGCAAGUUUUCAGUGCAAUUCCACAUCCAAAUGUUGUUAUUCAGGUUGUCAUCAACUCAUCAUACUAUAUCAGCUUCAAUGUUAAUUUUUUCUCUCAAGUAGUCCAUAAAUAUGUGAACCUGACCACUCAAAACUACUGCAGGGGUAGGAUUUCUGCAGUAUCCCUUGGCUGGUUAAUCUGUUUGGACUAGAAUUUUCUGAAUUGUAGUAAAGCUUGGCAACUACAGAAUACAUUGUCUCGAGGUAUAAUAGCACUUGAUUCUCUAACAAUCGUUGAUUCAUGAAUUGCAGCAGGGUGAACCCAAGGCCCCUCCUGUGAAUCCCAUUGCUUACAAUUAUUUCAUGAUUGAGAUCUUGAAUUUAACAUUUAGUAUUUUCUUGUUUAUUUUCUUUCUUUUGGAGGAGAACAAGAUGCAGCUUGUAAUGUGUGAAUUUACAACUUUAGUUGAAUAAACAGAAUAUAUCAAUUGUAAGUUCAUGUAUAGAAAAUUCAAUCCUUGCAUAGGUUUUGUAUUAUAUAUAGUUAACUCAGUAUAGUUUACAUUUUUCCAUCUUUCUCCGGGAGCUCUUCAGAUAUCAUCUACACCUCAGACAAGUAACAUUAACUUGCUAAAAGCAAGAAAAGUAACACAAGGUUUGCAAGUUUGACAAAGUUUCCCUCCGUUCUUGAAUGUAGCUAUUUUUAUUUUCUUUUUAUUCAGACUGUUGUUGGCAUGUCGACAAAAAUAUUAACUGCACAUUGUUGCUAGCUGUGACGUUUUGUCAAAGUUGAAUAGAAGAAAGUGGAUUUGUAAACAGAGUGACAACGCCAAUUAUUUUUCUCCUGGUGUGCUAGAUCAAAAGGAAAAGGAGGAAGUAUGUUCAUGCACUGGAAGUUUUACUGAGUCAUGAUGCACAUUGAGUUAGUGCUGUGUUUUCCUUUUCUUUUGAGACAAUUGUUGUAUAAUGGAAAAGGUACACUACCGUUGGGGUGAAACCCAUCAUAUUUCUAAUGGUAUAUAACCAAAAUCGGGGUGAGACAAGAUAUUAUACUGAAAGUUUCAGGUUUGCG